GGCAAGUUGGCCGAGUGGUUAUGGCGGAGCACUCAAGUUUAAAAACUUACACUAUCAAAUAGUGAUGUAUUGCUCUGGGGCAACCCGCACGCGUUCGAAUCGCGUACUUGUCA